rnacentral:rRNA from 1 species
UACAGAGGGGGCAAGCGUUGUUCGGAAUUACUGGGCGUAAAGGGCGCGUAGGCGGCCUGCUAAGUCGAACGUGAAAUCCCUGGGCUCAACCCAGGAACUGCGUCCGAUACUGGUUGGCUUGAAUUCGGGAGAGGGAUGCGGAAUUCCAGGUGUAGCGGUGAAAUGCGUAGAUAUCUGGAGGAACACCGGUGGCGAAGGCGGCAUCCUGGACCGGUAUUGACGCUGAGGCGCGAAAAGCCAGGGGGAGC